rnacentral:rRNA from 1 species
UAGGGAAUCUUCCGCAAUGGGCGAAAGCCUGACGGAGCAACGCCGCGUGAGUGAUGAAGGUCUUCGGAUCGUAAAACUCUGUUAUUAGGGAAGAACAAAUGUGUAAGUAACUAUGCACAUCUUGACGGUACCUAAUCAGAAAGCCACGGCUAACUACGUGCCAGCAGCCGCGGUAAUACGUAGGUGGCAAGCGUUAUCCGGAAUUAUUGGGCGUAAAGCGCGCGUAGGCGGUUUUUUAAGUCUGAUGUGAAAGCCCACGGCUCAACCGUGGAGGGUCAUUGGAAACUGGAAAGCUUGAGUGCAGAAGGGGAAAGUGGAAUUCCAUGUGUAGCGGUGAAAUGCGCAGAGAUAUGGAGGAACACCAGUGGCGAAGGCGACUUUCUGGUCUGUAACUGACGCUGAUGUGCGAAAGCGUGGGGAUCAAACAGG